rnacentral:tRNA from 1 species
GGGGCAGUAGCUCAGGUGGUUAGAGCAGAAGACUCAUAAUCUUUUGGUCGCGGG